CCUACGGGAGGCAGCAGUGGGGGAUAUUGCACAAUGGGGGAAACCCUGAUGCAGCGACGCCGCGUGGGUGAAGAAGCGCCUCGGCGCGUAAAGCCCUGUCAGCAGGGAAGAAAAUGACGGUACCUGAAGAAGAAGCCCCGGCUAACUACGUGCCAGCAGCCGCGGUAAUACGUAGGGGGCAAGCGUUAUCCGGAUUGACUGGGUGUAAAGGGGGCGCAGACGGCGAUGCAAGCCAGGAGUGAAAGCCCGGGGCCCAACCCCGGGACUGCUCUUGAAACUGCGUGGCUAGAGUGCAGGAGGGGCAGGCGGAAUUCAUGGUGUAGCGGUGAAAUGCGUAGAUAUCAGGAGGAACACCGGUGGCGAAGGCAGCCUGCUGGACUGCAACUGACGUUGAGGCCCGAAAGCGUGGGGAGCAAACAGGAUUAGAUACCCGUGUAGUC
rnacentral:rRNA from 1 species